UUGCCUCAGCAACUGUGCUAACUGCAUUUGCUUUGCGUCAGCAUUCGUUGUAAGCAACGCAUCGCUGCGCGGUGUUUGCAAAGAAUGCAAACACAAAGCAGAUGCAGUUAGCACAGUUGCUGAGGCAAC
rnacentral:pre_miRNA from 1 species